ACAACGAUAUAAUAUUGUUCUAUUAACCAAUGUAAACAUUUGCUUGGUACUGCCAAAAUUGCCUCAGACGGCAGGGUCCUGCCAGCGCAAAAGGCCUGCACCGCUACCGUGACAUGCACUUCUGGCCUAGCAGACAAGUAGUGUGCCAGUCUAAGACCGCAUCUCUCCAAAUGUCCACACCAUAGUAUUUUUACUAACGAGUUUACACUCAUUUGAUUGGAAGACUAAUGGAAUCGGCUGCCAUACUUACAGAAAGAGACGCUAAUUUUUUUCAAGCGAACGAAUUUCACCAAGCAGUAAUGGAACAAGAUUCGUGUUUAAUGACAAAUUGAAUAGUAGAAAAAUCCGUACUCGUUGACGGCACGCGCUUUCCUGGGCUGAUAUCCUCCGCAGCUGACGUCGUUCGUCAGCUAUCAUUAUUACUGCCCCAGGGGGGCAGCGUCAGCUGUCGAAGAUCGUAUGUGAUGGGCAUUAGCAUAAAUAAUCGAUUGUCGAUGAUACGACUUGGACUUAAGGAAACCUACAAAGUCGCUGGGACUAAAUCUAUGCUGCCAUAGCCAGCCAGCUACCACUAUACGAAGGAAAACGCUCUGACGCCAUCGGCGCUUGACGUUUGCUGCGUUCUGCCAAAAUACAAAAUGAAAACAGAAAUAGGAGAGGAGGAGAUUUUCCAAGGAAAGAAAAAGAAAGGCUAUCAGCAGCAGUUCUACCUUUCCUAUAAUAUCCAUGAUUUACUUCUAUGUAUUGCCCUUUCACAAUCGAUAUUACAAUAUCGCUGUGGGAGAACGUCGUGUGGAUAUCUUUCGUACGUGACUGUGCUGAGGCUUUAUAAGCGUAAAGAUUUGCCUAACCACACAUUGUGUCUCUGCCAAUGAUCUGAGAAGAGCAAUCAAUAUGAGGAUUUUACUGUUGGUAAGCGCGUUUCUCGGAACGGCCCUUUGCGGCGGCGGAGGAGGUUGGGCCGGCGGUGGAGGGGGCGGAGGCCAUGGAGGCGGCCCAAGCAAAACGUUUAUUGUGAAGGUCCAAAAAGCUGGUGGAGGUGGUCAUGGAGGUGGAGGAGGCGGAUGGCAGGGUGGAGGUGGAGGAGGCGGA
rnacentral:lncRNA from 1 species